AUACCUGGCUAAUUUUUGUAUUUUCAGUAGAGACAGGGUUUCCCCAUGUUGACCAGGCUGGUCUGGAACUCCUGACCUCAGGUGAUCCACCAGCCUCCCAAAGUGCUGGAUUAUAGGUGUGAGCCACCACACUCUGCCUUUUUUGUAGAGUUUUUAAAGAGAAAUCACACUAUGGAUGUAUGAAAGGAAGGACAUAUGUCUGCCUGAUUCUUUUUCUCCCACCUGAGUACUAAACAGCCCCCACCCUGCUCAGCUUCCGAGAUCAGGUGAGAUUGGGUUGGUUCGGGGUGGUACGGUCAGAUUCUGAUUCUCUUUCAUCUCCUGUUUCCCACCGGUCAAGAUUUACUCCAGGGAGAACUAAGGCCCCUUUCACUUCUAGGUGGCAUCAUCUAGCUCCUUCUCAGCUGCUCAGGUGCUGUGCCCCACUAUGUAGUAUUUCAUCUGUGAUACUGGGAAUGAGGCACCAACUAAGAGAAGACAGCAACUGAGGGAAUCUUGAAAAAGCGCAAGGUUUAUGUCCAAUACAGAGACUGGAGAGGUCUUCACUUUAAUAUUUCCAGGCUUGUGGACAGUGCCUGGAGUACGUGGGUCAUUCAUCUGAAUGGCUUUCAGAUUACACCAGGUGAGAGGACCCCUCUUGUGUGAAUACAGUGUGCCCAGUCUCUCUCCAUCGAGGCCCAUCACCAUCUUUCAGCUGGUUGCAGAUUAUCACUGGCAACUCCCGCAGAGGAACCUGUGGCCAUAUCUGCCCACUCUAGUCCCUCCGCAGAAGCUACAGGAGGAAUGCCCCUUACUGACCACCUGCCAGCAUACAUGAAUGAAACUUCAGGUCACACAGCUGCUGCCAUGGAGGUGAGAACUGGGUUGGGUGGGUUAGAGCGAGUUUCAGGCGGCAAGGCAUGAAAGAAGAUGGCCUCCCCUGACUGGAGGGUUUGUGCCUAUUUUGCAGGUUAUAGAGAUCUUUUGGGAAAUGGAUGUGAAGGGCUCUGGAAUGUUCCUGAACUCACCUGCCAUUCCAGGGUGAGUUCUUGUGUGUUCAUGCAGAAGGCCUGAAUAUUCUGUUGUGGGCAUCUUUUUAUGUAAAAACAUUAUGCUGGGCCGGGCGUGGUGGCUCAAGCCUGUAAUCCCAGCACUUUGGGAGGCCGAGGCGGGUGGAUCACGAGGUCAACAGAUCGAGACCAUCCUGGUCAACAUGGUGAAACCCCGUCUCUACUAAAAAUUACAAAAAAUUAGCUGGGCACGGUGGUGCGUGCCUGUAAUCCCAGCUACUCAGGAGGCUGAGGCAGGAGAAUUGCCUGAACCCAGGGGGCGGAGGUUGCAGUGAGCCGAGAUUGCGCCAUUGCACUCCAGCCUGGGUAACAAGAGCGAAACUCCGUCUCAAAAAAAAAAAAAAAAAAAAAAAAACCAUUAUGCUGUACCCUCUACAAAUGUGUUCUAGUCAGUGCUAGACCUAUCUGCAAAAGUGUGGGCAGAGAAAAUGAGGUGAGGGUCUCUGAGAGAUUGGCACUGAACACUGGCUCGGGGGUUCUGUGGGACGAGAGCAGGGAUGGCUGGGAGGCGAACUCACUUCCAGGGC
ensembl:lncRNA